CGUCAUUCUGACUGACUCGAAGUUUAGGAAAGUACACAUCAAAGUUUGUGCAAAACUUUGCUUUUAUGAAACGUUUUCGAAAUAAAAUCGUUACGCCAUGCAGAGGGAAAGGUCAGUAUUAAAUUUAGCUAUUUUUUAAACGUUUUUGAGUUGUUCUUGUUAAGUUAUUACUGUUUUUUAAAACACGUGUCUAUCAGUCAUUGUAGUAUGUAUUCAAUUUGAUUCCCAUUCAAGCGCUUCGUUUCAACGCUCAGUCGCUUUAUUUUCUCAGUGUCUUUCCCUAUUUUCCUAGCAGUAUUGUUCAGAAAUACCCUAGCUUUGAUUCAUUUAACUCAUAUUUAGUUUAUCUGCGAUUUUAGGGCGAAAAUUUGAAGAGAAAGUGAACUAAUUUAAGUCGCCGACAUGGUCGAAAUGCUGAAGCACAUGGUAAGCAUAAUGUCCAUUAAGGGCGUUUCCUAAUUCUUGUUUGUUUCUCGUUUUUAAGCUUCCCCAGUACACCUAGAACGUCUUAUAGCAUUGCUUUGUAGCCUUACGAACACUCUGAGUCAAGUUUAGUUACAAUAUUGGUGAAACUUUUGUCCAUACCGCGCGAAUUGCAGACUUAUUUUAGGCAUGUUCAGUUUCACAUGCAGGCGUGUCAUAUAAUUUUCGAACAUUUUAGCUUUUACAAACCAAUCGUUUAUGGUCUUUAUGUACAAAUUGUUCUCUGAGAGGGAAGGCUAAGCUUUCCCAGUUUCUUGAGCUUGUCUAAGCAGAGUUUCAACCAAUAUUUUUACGAAAUUUAGAGAUGAAAAGUCCUCGUGGUACAUGCCCUAAUUUUAUGCAUAGAUGCACCACGCAUUCUUUAAAAUAAAAAUAUUGAAUUGAAUAACCACACCCUGUGAAAACGACAUUGAAUAACUCGUUGUUUUAAAACUAACAAUUCAUUGUCCAAUUUUUUAGACUGCCUCAAAGUCGAUCAUUUCGAUGGCAAACACUACAGAAAUACCUCUGCACAGAUUUGAAGAGGCGCUCGCCUAGCAGUCGAAGCAAAACGAGAAAGACCAGAAGGCUGACAAAUGAGACCAGCCACCAGCUCCAUUCCUUUGCAAACCCAAAGCAUUCAUUGUCAGAUUUCGUUUGUGCAAAGUUUGGAAGAGAUUGCCACUUAUCCAGAGACAGUAACGAAGGCAUAUAAUAACAGAUUUCGUUCAAUCAGCUAGCUGUGAAUGAGAUGCAAAGACCUGCCAAGCGACAGUCGACGCCGUACCAUCCAGAGACCAUAACCAAUACGCCAUACCAUCAUGAAAGAUGUUGUACAUUACAGAAGGUAUAUUUUCCUCGUGAUUCUCGUUGUGCGUGUUCGAAAGUACGUGGGGGCCCACCCUGAAGACGCCCAAAUGCAUAAAACAAAUUUAAAUGUGGCACAUUUUCAUUAAUUUCGCAAUUUAUU